rnacentral:snRNA from 1 species
GUGCUCGCUUCGGCAGCACAUAUACUAAAAUUGAAACGAAUACAGAGAAGAUUAACAUGGCCCCUGUGCAAGGAUGACACGCAAAUUCAUGAAGCGUUCCAUAUUUUU